UUGCUUUGACAGCACAUAGACUAAAAGUAGGAUGAUACAGAGAUUAGCAUGGCCCCCUGUGCUAGGAUGCCAUGCUAACUUGUGAAGUGUUGCAUAUUUUU
ensembl:snRNA U6 U6 spliceosomal RNA